UAAGCAGAGCGGAUGGUCGCGGUCCGGAGAGAUCCGGACUGAGGAAAGUCCGGGCUUCGCAGGGCAGGAUGCCGGAUAACGUCCGGUGGAGGUGACUCCCAGGCCAGUGCAACAGAAAUAUACCGCCUGCGGUGCAGAUCAGAUCCAGCUGAUCUGCUUCGCCGGUAAGGGUGAAAAGGCAGUGUAAGAGACUACCGUCUUUGUGGUAACACAAAGAGCCAUGUAAACCCCAUCCGAAGCAAGACCGAAACGAGGACCAUGGGUCGGCCCGGCCCGUUCUCAGGUGGGUCGCUUGAGGCUGUCGGUGACGGCAGUCCCAGAUAGAUGAUCAUCCAAGACAGAACCCGGCUUACAGCUCUGCUUAUUUU
rnacentral:RNase_P_RNA from 1 species